GAUGAACGCUGGCGGCGUGCUUAACACAUGCAAGUCGAACGGUGAAGCCAAGCUUGCUUGGUGGAUCAGUGGCGAACGGGUGAGUAACACGUGAGCAACCUGCCCUGGACUCGGGGAUAAGCGCUGGAAACGGUGUCUAAUACUGGAUAUGAGCUCCUUACGCAUGGUGGGGGUGGGAAAGAUUUUUCGGUCUGGGAUGGGCUCGCGGCCUAUCAGGUCGUUGGUGAGGUAAUCGCUCAUCAAGGCGUCGACGGGUAGCCGGCCUGAGAGGGUGACCGGCCACACUGGGACUGAGACACGGCCCAGACUCCUACGGGAGGCAGCAGUGGGGAAUAUUGCACAAUGGGCGGAAGCCUGAUGCAGCAACGCCGCGUGAGGGAUGACGGCCUUCGGGUUGUAAACCUCUUUUAGCAGGGAAGAAGCUUUUGUGACGGUACCUGCAGAAAAAGCGCCGGCUAACUACGUGCCAGCAGCCGCCGUAA
rnacentral:rRNA from 1 species